rnacentral:rRNA from 1 species
UACGUAGGGCGCGAGCGUUAAUCGGAAUUAUUGGGCGUAUAGGGCGCGUAGGCGGACUAAUUAGUCGAAUGUGAAAUCCCAGGGCUCAACCCUGGAACAGCAUCCGAAACUGUUAGUCUAGAGGGUAGAAGGAGGAAACGGAAUUCCACAAGUAGCGGUGAAAUGCGUAGAUAUGUGGAAGAACACCCGUGGCGAAGGCGGUUUCCUAUUUUACUCCUGACGCUGAGGCGCGAAAGCAAGGGGAUCAAACAGG